rnacentral:rRNA from 1 species
UGUGAAGAUUGGUGGUAUGCUCUUACACAUGCUAGUCGAACGGCAGCAUGAUCUAGCUUGCUAGAUUGAUGGCGAGUGGCGAACGGGUGAGUAAUACAUCGGAACGUGCCCUGUAGUGGGGGAUAACUAGUCGAAAGAUUAGCUAAUACCGCAUACGACCUGAGGGUGAAAGUGGGGGACCGCAAGGCCUCAUGCUAUAGGAGCGGCCGAUGUCUGAUUAGCUAGUUGGUGGGGUAAAGGCCCACCAAGGCGACGAUCAGUAGCUGGUCUGAGAGGACGAUCAGCCACACUGGGACUGAGACACGGCCCAGACUCCUACGGGAGGCAGCAGUGGGGAAUUUUGGACAAUGGGCGAAAGCCUGAUCCAGCAAUGCCGCGUGUGUGAAGAAGGCCUUCGGGUUGUAAAGCACUUUUGUCCGGAAAGAAAUGGCUCUGGUUAAUACCUGGGGUCGAUGACGGUACCGGAAGAAUAAGGACCGGCUAACUACGUGCCAGCAGCCGCGGUAAUACGUAGGGUCCAAGCGUUAAUCGGAAUUACUGGGCGUAAAGCGUGCGCAGGCGGUUGUGCAAGACCGAUGUGAAAUCCCCGAGCUUAACUUGGGAAUUGCAUUGGUGACUGCACGGCUAGAGUGUGUCAGAGGGGGGUAGAAUUCCACGUGUAGCAGUGAAAUGCGUAGAGAUGUGGAGGAAUACCGAUGGCGAAGGCAGCCCCCUGGGAUACACUGACGCUCAUGCACGAAAGCGUGGG